ensembl:lncRNA
GUGUACGAUGAAAUUACACACAAAACCCAUCUCGCUCUUCACACUGAUUCUGCUGUUUCACACUGUCCAAGCAGAAGCUUCUCAUGAUGAGACUCUGAGGAUCCUGGUUGUGGGAGUCAGAGGUCAGUCCAGAUUCAGUGCUGCAGAUCUUCUGUCAGGAAGGAAAGACGGAGGACAGGAGGACAGAGAGAUUGUAAAGACUCCAGUAAUUACAGACGGGGCUCGUAGAAUGAUGCUGGUCACUGGACCAAACCUCUGUGAGGAGGACACAGAGAGACAGACCUUCACAACAGCGCUGUUUCUCUCGUCUCCUGGACCUCACGCCGUUCUAAUGGUCCUGAAUCUGGAAGAUCAACAAUCACAACAGUGUGAUAUUGAGAAACGAGCCCAGGAGCUGCUGGGAGCAGAAGUCCUGCAGUACUGCAUUGUUCUUCUGCUCCAAAAUCACCAGGAACCUUUGACAGGAGCCUCCAGAGGGAUUGCUGGAGAAAUGAUCAAUGCAUGUGGAGGAAGAUUUCACAUCAUAAGAGACUCUGAAC